rnacentral:rRNA from 1 species
GACGAACGCUGGCGGCGUGCUUAACACAUGCAAGUCGAACGGAAAGGCCCCUCUCGGGGGGUACUCGAGUGGCGAACGGGUGAGUAACACGUGAGUAACCUGCCCCUGACGUUGGGAUAACUUCAGGAAACUGGGGCUACUACCUGAGAGCUGCUCCUGCUGCAUGGUGGGGGUUAGAAAGUUUGGGCGGGUGGGGAUGGACUCGCGGCGUAUCAGCUUGUUGGUGGGUUGAUGGCUUACCAAGGGGUUGACGGGUAGCCGGCCUGUGGGGGUGACCGGCCACCCUGGGACUGAGGGACGGCACCAACUCGUAAGGGGGGCCAAGGGGGGGAAUAUUGAACAAUGGGUGGCAGGCGGAUGAAGCAACCCCGUGGGCGGGAAGACGGCCUUCUGGGUGAAAAACGGUUUCGCGAAUGACGAAGCUUUGUGUGACGGUACUGGAUGAAGAAGCACCGGCUAACUACGUG